rnacentral:rRNA from 1 species
AGAGAGAGACAUGCGCGCAUAUCAAUAAGCGGAGGAAAAGAAACUAACUAAGGAUUCCCCUCAGUAACGGCGAGUGAAGCGGGAAGAGCUCAAAUUUGAAAUCUUCAAGGGUUCUACCUUUACGAAUUGUAGUUUAAAGAAGUGUUUUCUGUUGGAGUUUUGGUAAAAGUUCUUUGGAAUAGGACAUCAUAGAGGGUGAGAAUCCCGUAUUUGACCAUUAUUUCCAACUUUGUGAUACACUUUCAAAGAGUCGGAUUGUUUGGGAAUGCAGUCCAAAAUGGGUGGUAAAUUUCAUCUAAAGCUAAAUAUUGGCGAGAGACCGAUAGCGAACAAGUACCGUGAGGGAAAGAUGAAAAGAACUUUGAAAAGAGAGUUAAACAGUACGUGAAAUUGUCAAAAGGGAAGCGUUUGACACCAGUGUUGUUUUCUCGAAAAUCAAUUAAAAAAGGCAGGAUUUUGUGUUGUAUUGACUUUAUCAGCUUUCUGCACUCUUUUCUUGUCUUUUUUAAUGCACUUUUCGUUUAACAAGUCAACAUCAAUUUCUUUUGUUGUAAAAGGGUCAUUGGAAGGUGGCUUUCUUUUCGGAGAAAGUGUUUAUAGCCUUUGGCCUCUGCAAUCGGAGAGAUUGAGGUCUGCAGCGUAGAUCCCUCGGGGUUAGAUACAUUUGUGCUAAGUUAUAGCCUUUCAUAGACAACUUGUUGACUAUGAUCAGUCAUGUAGCUUACUCGCUUAUGCUAUUUUACCUACGCUUAGGAUGUUGAUGUGAUACUGCGAGCA